rnacentral:rRNA from 1 species
AUACGGAGGACGCGAGCGUUAUCCGGAUUCAUUGGGUUUAAAGGGAGCGUAGGCGGGAGCUUAAGUCAGCGGUUAAAUGGUGCGGCUCAACCGUGCCCUGCCGUUGAAACUGGGUUUCUUGAGAGUGCAAGAGGCGGAUGGAAUUCAUGGUGUAGCGGGGAAAUGCUUAGAUAUCAUGAAGAACUCCGAUUGCGAAGGCAGUCCGCUGGGGCUCGUCUGACGCUGAUGCUCGAAGGUGCGGGAAUCAAACAGGAUUAGAUACCCUGGUAGUCCGCACGGUAAACGAUGAUUACCCGCUGUCGGCGGCAGACAGUCGGCGGCCAAGCGAAAGCGAUAAGUAAUCCACCUGGGGAGUACGCCGGCAACGGUGAAACUCAAAUGAAUUGACGGGG